AAACACAGAAUGCGGUCAUGUGAAUUGUGUUCCCUGACCCUAUGGAAAAACACAUAGACUCUAGUAGAUUGAAGACCUGGGAAAGUUGGAAUGCCAUGUUUCGUUGUCAACACAAAAUUAGGAACAGCAAUGAUUGAUAGUGUAGGUGGGCCGGUGAGGGUCAACAAUUUGUUGUCAACACUCAAUAUACCAACAAUUGGAAAUAAAAACAUGAAAAGAAAUGGAGAGACGUGUUGGAAAUAUCACUGAGACAGUGGCUUCUAUGUCGACAGAAUCUGCUGCGAAAGAUUAAGGAAAUGGAGGAUGUGCAUCAUGAAGAAUCAAUGGUAUCAGAAUACAACAUCAUGGAAGGUCUUAUUGACAAGAUCUUGGAGGAUGUCCUUUGCCAGAUGCCUCGCCAGCACUAAAGUCUAUUCUUCAGUCAGAUGCUACAGUUACAAAUGACAGUGAAUGGUCAGAUUUAUACAAUUGUGAUGAACAAUCCUCAACAAUACAUCAAACAAAAAUGCCUAUUAAACUGUAAGUUGAAAUCUAUGAGGUUUUUUUUAUAUAUAUUUAUAAUCAUGGUGUAGCAAUUAAAUGAUAAUACUGUGAUAAUUUUGUAAUGCUAUUUGGGGUCGUCUUCAAUAGAAACAAUUUGAUGUAUCUUCAUGUGAUGAAUAAUCGAUAUGCAGUCCGAAUUAUUUCAUAAAAGUGAUUACUAAAAUUGGUCAGGAAAAAGUCGUGCAAUUAGC